CCGCCCCCACCCCGCAGUGCUCUUACCUCCACACCUGCCCCAUCUGCAGCAGGUGGAUGACCGACUGCCAGAUCCACACGGAGAGGCGACACAGGAGCCGGCCCCCAUCAUGGGGGGGCCCCGGCUGGUGAGCCCCUCCACGGCGCCCAGCCCGCCGCCCGUGUAGUCCUGCACGAACCAGCGGAAGCUCAGGCUCUGCACCAGCAGCGACGGCACCAGCACGAAGAAGAGGGUCAGCCCGAAGUAGACGUAGUCCCCCUUGCGGUAGUAGUCGAGGGCCAGCCACAGGGCCAUCGGAUUUCGCCGCCAUCUUGACUCUCUUCCCAGCUCCGGAGG
rnacentral:lncRNA from 1 species